UAUUAAGAAUUCAUAAUCAAAUAGAUUCAAUGAGGUUUAUGUGCAUCUUAAUCAAAAGAAACGUAGCUCACGUUCAAAGACUUAAUAGCAAGUCAAGAUUGUUAAUUAUACAUAGAGAAUAGCGAUUCAGUCUUCUGCUUCUUGUUCCCAAGGUGAAAUCUUCAACUUCUUUUUGUCUUCUCUAAAGCAAUAAAAUUAAUCUUUCAAUGCCAAAGAGUCAAAACCCUAGGCUCAAAUACAAAAAAAAAAAAAAAAGUACUUAAAAACGCACAAAAUCUUGCAUCUGAAGCCUAGGCGAGCCAAAACUUCUCCUAGACAAGCACUUAAAAAUAGGUAUGAUCUUCAAAUUAAAGACAACGACGCCUAGGUGAGCACUUAAAAAUAGACACAAUCUUCAAAUUAAAGGAAAUGCUGCCUAGACGAGCCAUAACUUCACCUAAGUGGGAGCUCAUUGCUUAGGUGAGCCUAAUAGAAGCAACAAAAAUUAUGGACUUCAACAUCGCUUAGGCUACCGGUUGCUUCACCUAGGCGAACUUUGACAACUUAAACACAUUUUGAGCUUUUUCAACACCAAAUUAUGUAUCAAUGACUAGAUAAUUUUCAUCAUAUAGUUCCACUCCAAAUGAUCAUCUUCAAUAGUUGAAAAAAAGAAAUAGACAACACUUUGAGAAUUUCCUAGUAAAGGAGAAAAUAUCAACAUAAACAUCUUUAAUGUUUAAAGACUAAGAUGUUGAAUUUACUACCAAAGACCAAGCUAAACUAUAACUAAAAGACAAAUAAAUAAAAGAAAGUACUAAAAAACCUAUGUUGAUAAGGAGUUAUCACAUAUCUGACUUUGUUGUUGAAUUCACAUAUUGGUGCCACGAUGCCAAAUCCACACUUUUGUAGACCUAAACUCUAUUGGUGCCACGAUGCCAAAUCCACACUUUUGUUUGAAUAAAGUUUCUUGAGUCAUUAUUUGAUGUGUGUUAUGGUAAGCCCACAAUGCUCAAUUUAGUACUUCUACCCACAUGCCUUUUGCUCGGUCUUAUCUCUUUCUAAGGUUGUUGAGAAUGACCUUGUUAGUUGCUUCAAUUUGAUCAUUUGUUUGGAGGUGCUUUACUAAGAAUAAUUUGAGCUCGACUCUAAAUUCUUCAUAGAAAUCUUCAAAUCAUUUUAUGAAAAACUGAGUUUCAUUGUCUGCCAUGAUAGUAUGAGGUAGACCAUGUCAGUAGAUGAUGUCUUUCCUCACGAAUUUCUUGACUUUUUCAGUCGGGAUGACUUUUAAUGGCUUGACCUCUAUCCUUGUAGAAAAAUGAUCAAUAUAAACAACUAUAAACUUAAGUUGACCUAGUCCUCACAGGAAUGGACCUAGUAUGUCAAGUUAGAAUGCGUGAAAAGGUCAAUAGGAUACUACUUGAUGAAGCACUUCUAGAGGCUGAUGAGCUAAAUUUAUGAAUUUUUGGCAUUUAUCACAUGUUUGAACAAGUUCCAUGUAAUAUUUCUAAAUGGUACACGAAUAGUAAUACGUUUUGAGCACUAUGGAUGCCAAGGUUUUCGCUCCACAGUGGUUUCCACAUAUCCCUGCAAGAUGUUGUGGUAAGGAACCCACCUCUAGGUUUUUAGAAGAUGAAGAAUGAAGGGUGGUUGGUUGUGGAUCUAACUCUCCCAUUGUAGUCAUAGUAGAAUUUAUCUUCCUUAUUGGUUGAGCAAAUAAGCUCUUCUUCUUCUCAAUCUUUCUAUCAUAUCCCUUUAUUGUUGUAAGAUUCUCUAAGAUAUAUUUUGUAUUUUGAUAAAUGUCAAAUUUAUAUUUAUCUAGUUAGAUGAUGAGUAUAUUCCUUUA